rnacentral:rRNA from 1 species
GAUGAACGCUGGCGGCGUGCCUAAUACAUGCAAGUCGAGCGAACGGACGAGAAGCUUGCUUCUCUGAUGUUAGCGGCGGACGGGUGAGUAACACGUGGAUAACCUACCUAUAAGACUGGGAUAACUUCGGGAAACCGGAGCUAAUACCGGAUAAUAUUUUGAACCGCAUGGUUCAAAAGUGAAAGACGGUCUUGCUGUCACUUAUAGAUGGAUCCGCGCUGCAUUAGCUAGUUGGUAAGGUAACGGCUUACCAAGGCAACGAUGCAUAGCCGACCUGAGAGGGUGAUCGGCCACACUGGAACUGAGACACGGUCCAGACUCCUACGGGAGGCAGCAGUAGAGAAUCUUCCGCAAUGGGCGAAAGCCUGACGGAGCAACGCCGCGUGAGUGAUGAAGGUCUUCGGAUCGUAAAACUCUGUUAUUAGGGAAGAACAUAUGUGUAAGUAACUGUGCACAUCUUGACGGUACCUAAUCAGAAAGCCACGGCUAACUACGUGCCAGCAGCCGCGGUAAUACGUAGGUGGCAAGCGUUAUCCGGAAUUAUUGGGCGUAAAGCGCGCGUAGGCGGUUUUUUAAGUCUGAUGUGAAAGCCCACGGCUCAACCGUGGAGGGUCAUUGGAAACUGGAAAACUUGAGUGCAGAAGAGGAAAGUGGAAUUCCAUGUGUAGCGGUGAAAUGCGCAGAGAUAUGGAGGAACACCAGUGGCGAAGGCGACUUUCUGGUCUGUAACUGACGCUGAUGUGCGAAAGCGUGGGGAUCAAACAGGAUUAGAUACCCUGGUAGUCCACGCCGUAAACGAUGAGUGCUAAGUGUUAGGGGGUUUCCGCCCCUUAGUGCUGCAGCUAACGCAUUAAGCACUCCGCCUGGGGAGUACGACCGCAAGGUUGAAACUCAAAGGAAUUGACGGGGACCCGCACAAGCGGUGGAGCAUGUGGUUUAAUUCGAAGCAACGCGAAGAACCUUACCAAAUCUUGACAUCCUUUGACAACUCUAGAGAUAGAGCCUUCCCCUUCGGGGGACAAAGUGACAGGUGGUGCAUGGUUGUCGUCAGCUCGUGUCGUGAGAUGUUGGGUUAAGUCCCGCAACGAGCGCAACCCUUAAGCUUAGUUGCCAUCAUUAAGUUGGGCACUCUAAGUUGACUGCCGGUGACAAACCGGAGGAAGGUGGGGAUGACGUCAAAUCAUCAUGCCCCUUAUGAUUUGGGCUACACACGUGCUACAAUGGACAAUACAAAGGGCAGCGAAACCGCGAGGUCAAGCAAAUCCCAUAAAGUUGUUCUCAGUUCGGAUUGUAGUCUGCAACUCGACUACAUGAAGCUGGAAUCGCUAGUAAUCGUAGAUCAGCAUGCUACGGUGAAUACGUUCCCGGGUCU